GGGGAUGUAGCUCAGUGACAGAGCACUUGCCUUGCAUGCACAAGGCCUGGAUUCCAUCUCUAGCACUUCA
rnacentral:tRNA from 1 species